AGAACUGUAAGACAAAGAAGAUGCUGAAGCUGCAUGGAGACGGGUGGCAGGGAGCACUGUCACCCACAGCUGGAGGAGCAAGGAAGCCAGGAAUAGAACAGAGACCCUCAGAGAUGGAGACACAGGUACUGGGCACCACGCUAUUGUGUCUGUAGCGUAUUUUGCUGUCAUAAUAACCUGACAUCGUGGGUCUCAUCACCGACAGCUGCACUUCACAGAGGGGGAUUUGAAGGCAUUUGGGAAGCUAUGUAAGUCCACAUCAUAGAGCUGCUCACCGACAGGAUCGCAUCUAGCACAGAAUCACUGAGCCCCGAGCACAUGCCACCCACUACACUACCUCGCUCCAGGACAGUAAGAAACCCUCAUGGCAGCCUAUGCAGUCACCAAGAAAGCAGUUAUAAAAGAGUGUAUGUGCUGGGCCUUGUACACCCAGUGCACGCCCCACAAAAAUGAGGCUCCAAAGUGUGUGCUCGCCUGAGCUGCAGUGGCAGUCACCCCACACAUGGAUAAACCAGGAGCCACGGCCCAGCUCUGCUUUCAGCCUGUUCUUUCUCCGCAUGCGAAGAAGCUUUUCAGACAUGCCGAAUGGGAAGGUGACCACUGCGCUUUGAAACCCCAGCCUCCCCAAUCCUAAUCAAGACAGCUGGGUCCCUCUGCGCACCGACAUCUAUGCAUGGAUAGCAUUGUCUGCUGGCUGGGUGUCAUCCUCUGCGUCGGGAAUAUUCUCCUAUUUCCCCCCAAGCCAUGUGUUGCCUUGGAAACAUCAUGAUUCUUACAGAGAUCUAAGCAAAGAGAAAUAAUAAAAAAUAAUAAAA